rnacentral:lncRNA from 1 species
UCAGCCAACAAGCGAUUUUAGUAUUUCCCAUUUUUGUUGAGUGCACUGCGGGCAGUGCAGUAAAAGCAAAAUAGCAAUUUCGUGCAACGGCGAAUAGAAUAACGGCUACAAUAACAAAAGCAAAAAGGUGGAAAAAUAUAGAGCUGAACGAGGCAUUUCAACAUUCUGUCACACUGUAAAUAUAUCGAGUAUGACGACAAUUGACACUUUAAUUCAGAGAAAAUAUGUCAGUCUUGAGUCAUACAAAACACAGGGAAAGAUGCUGUUUUAAUUAUAACUAUACCGCGGCUUUCUUUGUAUGCAUGUGACCAGCGUGAGAAAUACUCAUGUAAAUGCAAGCUCAUGUACGCAUACAUGUGAUAUAGAACAAAUUUUGUCUGUCCUUCCCUCACGGCACUAACCCAAUCACUUAAUCAUCAAUUGUCAAGUGUAUAUACAUAUACAUAUGUAUAUAUGUAUGUACAUACGAAAUAUUUAUUUUAUUACGGCGACAGUUUGAACAAACCACUUGACAAUUGAUGAUUAAUUAGAUGAGCACAUAAACAUACAAACAUACACACGCAUG